UCAACCUGUUGUUGUUUAUUUUUUGUUAUGUUGUUUCUUGGAGUGUUUGGAUCACAACAGGGGACGCCUUCUAUUCCGUACGUUGUCAUCAUCUGAUCAUUUCAGUUCUUAAAGUUUCAAGACUGGAAACCCUGAAAGUGCAAAGACAUUACAUCAACCAGGAAUCACAAGAUAUCAGUGAGUAAUCCAAAUCAUCCUGGAAUAAGAAUUUCUAUUAGGUAUCUGAUCUUCAUUUUUUGUUUGUUUUCUUUAGAUCACAUUAACAUACAUGCUAACAGCACUGAGCGAACAGCUGAUCUGUGUGAGCCUAUUGAUGCUCUGCAGGACUGAAAAUCAAUACAGCUGAGAGUGAC